AGAGGAGUAGGCCCCACCGCGUUAAGUGCUGACGGAACGGAAUGUGAACGUCGGACGAAGACUCAGUCGCGAUGGUGGGGCCGCAUUCGCCUAA
rnacentral:ncRNA from 2 species